rnacentral:lncRNA from 1 species
UGUUUGAGCAGCGAUUUUAGCAACCAUUUUCCUUCCUAUUGUGCGUGGAUCCCGUCGAGUACGACGGAUGCGUAGGGGUGCUAAUACCUUCCCUUCGCAUAACCGACUCCCGAUCCCAUUCUCUUUGGUCGCGAGACCAUGCUUUUUCCAGGUUUACUCUGAGCGUUUCCUUUCCCUCUUCUGGGAUAAAUAACGCACGGUG